rnacentral:lncRNA from 1 species
GCCUGUAAUCCCAGCACUUUGGGAGGCCGAGGCGGGCGGGUCACUUGAGGUCAGGAGUUUGAGACCAGCCUGGCCAACAUGGUUAAAACUCAUCUCUACUAAAAAUACAAAAAUUAGCCGGCAUGGUGGCAGGCGCCCGUAAUCCCAGCUACUCGGUGUGGGGGCUGGGACAGGAGAAUCGCUUGAACCCAGGAGGCGGAGGUUGCAGUGAGCUGAGACUGUGCCACUGCACUCAAGCCUGGGUGACAGAGCGAGACUCCGUCUCAAAAAAAAAAAAAAAAAAUUAGCCAAGCGUGGUGGUGCACGCCUGUAAUCCCAGCUACUCAGGAGGCUGAGGCAGGAAAAUUGAAAUCGCUUGAACCCGGGAGGCGGAGGUUGGAGUGAGCCAAGAUCGCACCAUUGCACUCCAGCCUGGGCGACAAGAACAAAACUCCAUCUCCCCCCUCCAAAAAAAAAAAAAAAAAGUAUUCAGGGUGGGCAUGGUGGCUCACGCCUGUAAUUCCAGCACUUUGGGAGGUUGAGGCAGGUCGAUCACUUGAGGCCAGGAAUUUGAGGCCAGCCUGGGCAACACGGUGAAACCUCGUCUCUACGAAAAAUACAAAAAUUAGCUGGCAUGCGGCUGUAGUCCCAGCUACUUGGGAAGCCAAGGUGGGAGGGUCCAGACUGCCAUGAGCUAUGAUUGCACCACUGUACUCCCCGCUGGGUGACAGACCAAGACCUUGUCUCAAAGAGAAAAAAAAAAAAAAAAGACACAAUGUCACAUAGAGGGUGGAAGUGCUAUAAAUCUAAUCAAGCAGGGUUCGCAGGGUUAACAGAUGAGAAGCACUCCUUCUAUGGUAGCCUGGGACACCUCAGUGAUGAAGAUGUCUGAGCAGAGAUCUGUAGUGACAUGGGCACCAUGUGGUUAUUUAUCUACCACAGAGGAACAGCAAGUGCAAAGGCCCUGGACUGUGCUUGGCAUAUUCCAAGGCACAGCAAGUCAGCCAGUGUGGCUGGAGCAGGGAAGGUGGG